CGCAUGCGCGUCUACACAUGCAGUCGAACGAUGAAGCCUUUCGGGGUGGAUUAGUGGCGAACGGGUGAGUAACACGUGGGCAAUCUGCCCUUCACUCUGGGACAAGCCCUGGAAACGGGGUCUAAUACCGGAUAACACUCUGUCCCGCAUGGGACGGGGUUAAAAGCUCCGGCGGUGAAGGAUGAGCCCGCGGCCUAUCAGCUUGUUGGUGGGGUAAUGGCCUACCAAGGCGACGACGGGUAGCCGGCCUGAGAGGGCGACCGGCCACACUGGGACUGAGACACGGCCCAGACUCCAGGUGGAGGCAGCAAACA
rnacentral:rRNA from 1 species